UGGCACAGACUCGCCUCUUCCACUCGUUUUUGUUUCCCUGGGUUUGGCCUCUGAGGGCCCCACUGGGUCUUGCUCACUUGGGUUCAUGUUCCUUUAUCCUGUAAGAACACCUUGCCCUGGGCACUGGAGACAACGCAGAGAAUAAAACAGACCAGCUCACAGUUGGCAUUGAGGCUCAGAGCCUGCAUGCCAAACAGAACUGCCUGGGUUCAAAUCCUGGCUCUACUGCUAAUCAGCUGCACCACCUCAGGCAGAAAACAGAAAGAUACAGCCCCAGAAAGGGCAUCAGGGCCGCCAGGUGGAUGAAGCCUGGAUCCCUAUGACUCUGAAUGGAGGAAAGCCAGCUGCAGUGAGCCGUUGUGUGACCAGAAAAACAGACAGCAGCAUCGAUUCAUAGCACUGAUUUACCACUGCUUCCCAGCUGCUACAAAACGGAUGUGCGGGCCGACACCUUAAUCUCUACCCAUCUCACUGCCAGCAAAUAACUGCUAAUUAAUACCUUUCUGCUUCCCGUCGCCUGCCAGCUCUGAGGGACAUCAAUACAUAUGUGGGACCAGAGGCCAUCCGAGGACCCAGUGGAACUGACCAGGUGAGGAGUGGAUCAUCAGCGCUGUAGCUCCACCCCGACCCCAUCAGACACACACAAUCAGCU